CGCUAGGGGCCCCGUGCGGUCAGGCCGGGGCGACCUCCACCCGCACCCACGCCUCAUGGGGCUCCCGGGUCUUGGCCGCGGCUGGGAUCCCCGGAAAAGCAGGGACGGAGAAGCCAGGCCGGCAUGCCCGCCCUCCUUCCCCCGGGAGGACCCAACAACUCCGGAAAGAUCCUGCCGGGAGAUGUGCUCGCUUUCCCCGGGGCAGCGGGGGAAAGCCCAGCAAAGGCACAUUGAAAAUUAAAAAGAAAAAAAAAAUUACGCCGAGUGGAAGAAGCAAUCGGGGCCGCGGCGGCGGCCCACACCAGGCAUAUUGGACCUUGCCCAUCUACACCUCAGCCCCACAGAGCAAGGAGAGGGCCAUUGGCAAGGAACUGAGGUGGCCUUCGAUCAACAGCCCACAAGGAAUGGAAUCCUGCCAAUAACAAUCAAAUGGUCCGAGGCAUCCAAGCAUGGCCUAUUGCCUGUGUCUUUAUUCUGAACAGAACAGGGCAGCCUUGGGAAAAUGCUGGCUGCUCAGCUAGCUCACUUAAAAAAAAUCACGUAAGCACUCCCUCUGCUCCUCUUAUUGGUGUUCAAGGCUUGAAGAGAGCUUUAGGGAAGGGUGUCUAAUGGAUCACAUGACUGUACCUACUGGUCCUUUUCCUGCCUUGUUAAUUACAAGGUGUUAUGAUCUUCACCACAGAUUGAUUACAUAAAGGGGAUCAUUUCUUCAUCCCCACCAUUUGCCAUGUAACUUUGUCAUGCCCUGUAUCUCUGACUCUGGCCUCUGUCAUUGACUUGCUGUGCCAAUGUUAGCAAAUGUGAAGCACACACAGGCUUGAAUAGCACUGUGCAACGGGACUUGUUAACACUUACCUUCUACUGUUGCUACAUGAACAUGCCCAGGCUAGCCUGAUGGAUGAUGAGAGACAUGUGGAAUAGAGCAGAGUCACCACAUUCAUCUCAGCUGAGACCUUUCUAGAUGGGUCAACAGCCCUCUACCCCCAGACGUGUGAGCCAGCCCAGCCAAGAUCAGCCAAGUCCAACCUGAAUAAUUGAACACUGAGGUCUUGUUGCAGAAUAAAAGUGUAUUAUUGUAACCCACAGUGGCUUUAUGAUUUUUAAUUAUGCAGCAGUAUUGUGGCAGCAGAUAAUUGAUACAGCCCUCAAAUGGAUAAUCUCUUUGGGUAUGGAGAAACAGGAUUUGGAAACCCAUAAGUGUAAGCCUUCAUAUAUGGGUAGAACAGGUUUCUUGCUCACAAGAGACACCAACUUAAAUUGAAAAGAAAGUGGUUUUGGACUAGUGCUAGGUACUGGUGCAUAAACCCAUGUAUAUACGCACAGGCUCUUGAGGGGUCAGUGAAAGAAGCUGCUGAAAUGUCACUCGUAGAAUGGGCUUCAAACAGGAGUGGGAUUUUCUCACCUUCAUCUAACUCCCUGCUGUUCUUUAAUGCAACUCUCCUAAGCCCCCAGCAUCCAGGUGUUCCUUUUGCCAUUUAUGAUGCUGCUUCUCUCCUACUUUGGGAUACCCUCCCUCUUUUCUGUUCAUCAUUAUCCCCCUGAUGCUAACCCAUUGAAUGGCUCUAUUUUCCUCUUCUCUGCAGUACUUUUAGGUUUUCAGCAUCUGUGUUACAUGCACUAGGCUUUGGUUUUAUAUGAUUACACAUCAGACUGCAACUAUUCUACAUCUAAUCCCUUAAUUAAUCUAUAAGCUCCUGAGAGGAAAGCUAUGGUACUAAAUGCUUUCACAGCGUAAGGCCAAAGUAAAUGCUUUUGGCACUAAGUAAAGGUUUCACAUAUAUUCAUGCCUUGAUUGAGGUGGAACAGGAGACCUACUAGUGAUAUUUAAUAGAAUGCUACCAAUUUCUUCUGUCUGACUGAAAGGCUCAUAGAUUCUAAGCCAUUCCUUUCCAGAAACAUCUUUAAGAACCAUGCUGCAAUUGCUUGUUGAUCAAGGCUUGUCUAACUAUGGUCCUGCUUGAAGGCAGAGAAGCCAUUUCUAUUCAUCCAACCAACCAUUCAAUAAAUAGUUAAUAGGUUCCUUCUAUGUAGAGGAGAUCUCUAUUAUGUAAGGAUAAGUGAUAGAAGAGAAAGACUUGAGUAUAAAUCCACUGAAAAUCAAGGACCAAAAUUUUAUAAGAGUGAAUAAAGUAAAAUGAUCUCAUUGGGUCUGCAUAUUGAUUAAAAUGAAACAAAUAAUUUAUUUUACCUUAUAUUUAGCAAAAUAUAGACUAUAAACACAACAAUUUGUUAACUCUGAGAAUGAACAAAGAAUGAAUCAAAGGAUGAGAUUUUGGCAUAUUUUUUGACAUCCCUUACCUAACCAUUGAUCUUUAUUGAAAUUUUAAAAAGUCAUGUUAAUUACCCUGACUUGAUUAUUACACGU
ensembl:lncRNA novel transcript